rnacentral:rRNA from 1 species
CCAGCAGCCGCGGUAAUACGUAGGGGGCUAGCGUUAUCCGGAAUUACUGGGCGUAAAGGGUGCGUAGGUGGUUUCUUAAGUCAGAGGUGAAAGGCUACGGCUCAACCGUAGUAAGCCUUUGAAACUGGGAAACUUGAGUGCAGGAGAGGAGAGUGGAAUUCCUAGUGUAGCGGUGAAAUGCGUAGAUAUUAGGAGGAACACCAGUUGCGAAGGCGGCUCUCUGGACUGUAACUGACACUGAGGCACGAAAGCGUGGGGAGCAAACAGGAUUAGAUACCCUGGUAGUCCACGCCGUAAACGAUGAGUACUAGCUGUCGGAGGUUACCCCCUUCGGUGGCGCAGCUAACGCAUUAAGUACUCCGCCUGGGAAGUACGCUCGCAAGAGUGAAACUCAAAGGGAAUUGACGGGGACCCGCACAAGUAGCGGAGCAUGUGGUUUAAUUCGAAGCAACGCGAAGAACCUUACCUAAGCUUGACAUCCUUCUGACCUCUCCCUAAUCGGAGAUUUCCCUUCGGGGACAGAAGUGACAGGUGGUGCAUGGUUGUCGUCAGCUCGUGUCGUGAGAUGUUGGGUUAAGUCCCGCAACGAGCGCAACCCUUGCCUUUAGUUGCCAGCAUUAAGUUGGGCACUCUAGAGGGACUGCCAGGGAUAACCUGGAGGAAGGUGGGGAUGACGUCAAAUCAUCAUGCCCCUUAUGCUUAGGGCUACACACGUGCUACAAUGGGUGGUACAGAGGGCAGCCAAGUCGUGAGGCGGAGCUAAUCCCUUAAAGCCAUUCUCAGUUCGGAUUGUAGGCUGAAACUCGCCUACAUGAAGCUGGAGUUACUAGUAAUCGCAGAUCAGAAUGCUGCGGUGAAUGCGUUCCCGGGUCUUGUACACACCGCCCGUCACACCACGGAAGUUGGGGGCGCCCGAAGCCGGAUUGCUAACCUUUUGGAAGCGUCCGUCGAAGGUGAAAUCAAUAACUGGGGUGAAGUCGUAACAAGGUAGCCGAU